GGAGUUCAAAAGGCUGACAGCUCCGCUUUGUACCAUUCACAACUUAGAGUUGGCUGGGAUCUUGACAACUGAGGGAGAGAAGGUACAUUUGGAGAGGGAGGGGGGGUUACUAGACCUCAAAGAUAGAGACGACAUGGUCACCUGAGCUCUCAUCAGGACAUGUGGGCAAACCCUCCUGCAGGCAGCAGGCCAAGGCCUAUAGGGACAGGGAAAGCCUGAGGGCGGGCGCAGCUUGUGUGCCAGGAGCCACAAUCCUGGUGAGCACUUUGGAAUGCUCCUUCUAUGCUAAAGUGCUCUCUUCUUAUGCCCAAGCCUUCAGUAAUAAUAUUGGAUUAAAAGGUACUACCUGGUCUUAGCAGGUGUGAUCCAGAAGUCAGCUGGAGCCUGGCCG
rnacentral:lncRNA from 1 species